rnacentral:rRNA from 1 species
GUGGGGAAUCUUGCGCAAUGGGCGAAAGCCUGACGCAGCCAUGCCGCGUGAAUGAUGAAGGUCUUAGGAUUGUAAAAUUCUUUCACCGGGGACGAUAAUGACGGUACCCGGAGAAGAAGCUCCGGCUAACUUCGUGCCAGCAGCCGCGGUAAUACGAAGGGGGCUAGUGUUGCUCGGAAUUACUGGGCGUAAAGGGCGCGUAGGCGGACAGCUUAGUCAGAGGUGAAAGCCAAGGGCUCAACCUUGGAAUUGCCUUUGAUACUGGCUGUCUUAGGUUUGGGAGAAGUGAGUGGAGCUCCGAGUGUAGAGGUGAAAUUCGUAGAUAUUCGGAAGAACACCAGUGGCGAAGGCGACUCACUGGCCCAAUACUGACGCUGAGGCGCGAAAGCGUGGGGAGCAAACAGGAUUAGAAACCCGGGUAGUCC